AACGCGAAGAACCUUACCUGGACUUGACAUGCAAGUAGUAGGCCAUGGAAACAUGUCCGACCGCAAGGAGCUUGCACAGGUGCUGCAUGGCUGUCGUCAGCUCGUGCCGUGAGGUGUAGGGUUAAGUCCUGAAACGAGCGCAACCCUCGGCGUUAGUUAGAAUGUCUAACGCAACUGCCCGUGACAAGCGGGAGGAAGGUGGGGAUGACGUCAAGUCAGCAUGGCCUUUAUGUCCAGGGCGACACACACGCUACAAUGGUCGGUACAAUGGGCAGCCAAGCCGCAAGGCGGAGCUAAUCCUAUCAAAGCCGGCCUCAGUUCAGAUUGUGGGCUGCAACUCGCCCACAUGAAGUCGGAGUUGCUAGUAACCGCGCGUCAGCACAGUGCGGUGAAUACGUUCCCGGGCCUUGUA
rnacentral:rRNA from 1 species